UGCUCAGAUUGAACGCUGGCGGCAGGCCUAACACAUGCAAGUCGAGCGGUAACAGGAAGGAAGCUUGCUUUCUUUGCUGACGAGCGGCGGACGGGUGAGUAAUGCCUGGGAAAUUGCCCUGAUGUGGGGGAUAACCAUUGGAAACGAUGGCUAAUACCGCAUGAUGCCUACGGGCCAAAGAGGGGGACCUUCGGGCCUCUCGCGUCAGGAUAUGCCCAGGUGGGAUUAGCUAGUUGGUGAGGUAAUGGCUCACCAAGGCGACGAUCCCUAGCUGGUCUGAGAGGAUGAUCAGCCACACUGGAACUGAGACACGGUCCAGACUCCUACGGGAGGCAGCAGUGGGGAAUAUUGCACAAUGGGCGCAAGCCUGAUGCAGCCAUGCCGCGUGUAUGAAGAAGGCCUUCGGGUUGUAAAGUACUUUCAGUGGUGAGGAAGGGGGUGUGGUUAAUAGCCAUAUUCUUUGACGUUAGCCACAGAAGAAGCACCGGCUAACUCCGUGCCAGCAGCCGCGGUAAUACGGAGGGUGCGAGCGUUAAUCGGAAUUACUGGGCGUAAAGCGCAUGCAGGUGGUUUGUUAAGUCAGAUGUGAAAGCCCGGGGCUCAACCUCGGAGUUGCAUUUGAAACUGGCAGGCUAGAGUACUGUAGAGGGGGGUAGAAUUUCAGGUGUAGCGGUGAAAUGCGUAGAGAUCUGAAGGAAUACCGGUGGCGAAGGCGGCCCCCUGGACAGAUACUGACACUCAGAUGCGAAAGCGUGGGGAGCAAACAGGAUUAGAUACCCUGGUAGUCCACGCUGUAAACGAUGUCUACUUGGAGGUUGUGGCCUUGAGCCGUGGCUUUCGGAGCUAACGCGUUAAGUAGACCGCC
rnacentral:rRNA from 1 species